rnacentral:rRNA from 1 species
AACCUGCCCUCCGCCGGGGACAACACUCCGAAAGGGGUGCUAAUACCGGAUACGAAGUCUGUGCCGCAUGGUACGGAUUUGAAAGAUGGCCUCUAUUUAUAAGCUAUCGCCGGGGGAUGGGCCUGCGUCCGAUUAGCUGGUUGGUGGGUAACGGCCUACCAAGGCGACGAUCGGUAGCCGGUCUGAGAGGAUGAACGGCCACAUUGGGACUGAGACACGGCCCAGACUCCUACGGGAGGCAGCAGUGGGGAAUCUUCCGCAAUGGGCGCAAGCCUGACGGAGCAACGCCGCGUGAAGUGAGGAAGUUCUUCGGAACGUAAAGCUCUGUUGUUCCUGACGAACCUCCCUUCUAUCAACAACGGAAGGGACUGACGGUAGGGAACGAGGAAGCCACGGCUAACUACGUGCCAGCAGCCGC